rnacentral:rRNA from 1 species
GCUACGGGCGGCUGCAGUGAGGAAUAUUGGUCAAUGGGCGUAAGCCUGAACCAGCCAAGUCGCGUGAGGGAUGAAGGUUCUAUGGAUCGUAAACCUCUUUUAUAAGGGAAUAAAGUGCGGGACGUGUCCCGUUUUGUAUGUACCAUAUGAAUAAGCAUCGGCUAACUCCGUGCCAGCAGCAGCGGUAAUACGGAGGAUGCGAGCGUUAUCCGGAUUUAUUGGGUUUAAAGGGUGCGUAGGUGGUUAAUUAAGUCAGCGGUGAACGUUUGUGGCUCAACCAUAAAAUUGCCGUUGAAACUGGUUGACUUGAGUAUAUUUGAGGUAGGCGGAAUGCGUGGUGUAGCGGUGAAAUGCUUAGAUAUCACGCAGAACUCCGAUUGCGACGGCAGCUUACUAAACUAUACCUGACACUGACGCACGAAAGCGUGGGGAUCAAACAGGAUUAGAUACCCUUGUAGUC